GAUGAAGAACGCAGCGAAAUGCGAUAAGUAAUGUGAAUUGCAGAAUUCAGUGAAUCAUCGAAUCUUUGAACGCACAUUGCGCCCCUUGGUAUUCCGAGGGGCAUGCCUGUUCGAGCGUCAUUAUAACCCCUCAAGCUCAGCUUGGUGUUGGGGCCUGCCGCACGGGCAGCCCUUAAAAUCAGUGGCGGUGCCAUCUGGCUCUAAGCGUAGUAAUUCUUCUCGCUAUAGAGUUCCGGUGGAUGCUUGCCAUUAACCCCCAAUUUUCUAUGGUUGACCUCGGAUCAGGUAGGGAUACCCGCUGAACUUAAGCAUAUCAAUAAGCGGAGGA
rnacentral:misc_RNA from 1 species